AUUGAACGCUGGCGGCAUGCCUUACACAUGCAAGUCGAACGGUAACGCGGGGCAACCUGGCGACGAGUGGCGAACGGGUGAGUAAAGCAUCGGAACGUGCCCAGUAGUGGGGGAUAGCCCGGCGAAAGCCGGAUUAAUACCGCAUACGACCUAUGGGUGAAAGGGGGGGAUCGCAAGACCUCUCGCUAUUGGAGCGGCCGAUGUCAGAUUAGGUAGUUGGUGGGGUAAAGGCCUACCAAGCCGACGAUCUGUAGCUGGUCUGAGAGGACGACCAGCCACACUAGGACUGGGACACGGCCCAGACUCCUACGGGAGGCAGCAGUGGGGAAUUUUGGACAAUGGGCGCAAGCCUGAUCCAGCCAUGCCGCGUGCGGGAAGAAGGCCUUCGGGUUGUAAACCGCUUUUGUCAGGGAAGAAAUCCUUUGGGUUAAUACCUCGGGGGGAUGACGGUACCUGAAGAAUAAGCACCGGCUAACUACGUGCCAGCCGCCGCCGUAACAC
rnacentral:rRNA from 1 species